rnacentral:rRNA from 1 species
AGUGAACGCUGGCGGUAGGCCUAACACAUGCAAGUCGAACGAGUGGCGGACGGGUGCGGAAUACAUCGGAAUCUACUCUGUCGUGGGGGAUAAAGUAGGGAAACUUACGCUACUACCGCAUACGAAUGAAUGAGCCGAUGUCGGAUUAGCUAGUUGGCGGGUGAAAGGCACACCAAGGCGAAGAGCCGUAGCUGGUCUGAGAGGAUUAUCAGCCACACUGGAACUGAGACACGGUCCAGACUCCGACGGGAGGCAGCAGUGGGGAAUAUUGGACAAUGGGCGCAAGCCUGAUCCAGCCAUACCGCGUGGGUGAAGAAGGCCUUCGGUUUGUAAAGCCCUUUUGUUGGGAAAGCGGUAUCCAAAGAAUAAGCACCGGCUAACUUCGUGCCAGCAGCCGCGGUAAUUC